UCUCUUUUCUCUUUUCUCUCUUAUCCUUGUUCUUUCUUCUUUCUCCUUCUCGUUUCUUUCUUCUUCUCUUCUUCCUGUUCUCGCCCGCGAGAGAGCGCUGAGAGUGGUGAGUGGGAAUUGAUUGAUGAAAAUCAGGUAGUGAUGCUAUACAGAUGUUGAAGGUGGUGGUGCUACUGUGAAUUAGGAAGAGAACAAUUAGGAGUCGAAGAUAUAAAUCAGUUAGGGCUUGUAAUACUCGUUAAUUGAAUUCGUAUGGUAUUGAUAAGGUACUUAGGUUGAUGAUAGAGAAGGAUCACAAGGGUUGUGGUUGAAUUGAAGCUUAGCAGUUGUCUCAGUGUUGAAUCGAAGAAUUAGGGUUUCAUAUGAUAAUACUCAAAAGAGGUUUAGAAGAUUAAAUUGAGGUUUUCAGGGAUGGAUUGGAGAUGGGUAUGAUGGUAUGAAGAUUAUAGUUAUGUAUUGAACCUGAAUUGGGAAAUAUAGGUGAUUAUGAAUAAACUAGGGUUGCAGAGAAUCUGUAGUGGUGAUGGGGAUGUUGGAUGCUGAAGGAAAUUACUUGAGGUAAUUGUUCUGAGUUAAUUUGGUAAAGCUAUUGAGUUAUAUUGAUUAUAUGUGGUUGAUAAUUGAAUUAAGAUAUGGGGUAGAUGUGUUGGGCAUGGAAUUGAACUGUGUGGAUUUGUGGUUCUAAAAUGGUUGAGUUAUGAUAGUUUAUUGUGAUAAAUGAAGUAUCUAGUUAAGUUUGUAGUGUUGUUGAUGCUGUUUGAGUUGAAAUGUUUUGGGAUUUAGAAUUGUAAUUUGUGUAGACUUGUAGCUGUUAGAUACAGAACAGAGUUGAGAAGUUUCAGUUGGGGAAAGACUAGUGGAUCGAGAAGUACGAACUGAACUCAGUAUUAGAACUGUAUUGUUGUGUUGUAGGAUGCAGUAAGGAGCUGGGAGUGAUAAUUAUGCUGAAGGGAUGUUGAUAAUGCGUAUUGAAUGAAUUUAAGGAUGUAGAUGCAUUAGUAACGCAGUCUUAAUGUGCAGGUAGAGUGGGUAUGGAAAUUAAGUUGAGUGUAGUUGUGGUGGUAGUCUGAGAUAAUGGAUCAUUAUGACAGUUGAGUUGUUGUGAAUGCGUAGGUGAAUGAGAUGAUGCUGGUGGUCAAGGUUUGAUAAAAUACAAGAUUCUGGAGAUGCUAAUACAAUUGAGAUUGAUACAGAUUGGGUGGAUAUGCAUUUUGAGUUAUGCUCAGCUGACAUUGGUGGUGUUUGUAAUGAAAUGAGAUAAAAGUGUAAGUAAGGGAUUUAGUGGUUCUGUUGAUCUGAACUCGAGUGUGCUUGUGAUAUGUAGAGCAGAAGUUGAUUCUAAUGUUGUUAGCAGUGACAUUAGUAAAAUCCUGCAAUGCAGAGCAAGUUGCAGAGACAUAUCAGAAUUGCGCAGCGAAAGCUUCGAGGAGCUGAGUCCGAUUGUUAGAUUAUUUCGGCUAUGUUUAUUAUGUUGCAUAUUAUAUUCGAAAACCAAAUGACUAUUGUAUAUGUACCAUUUGAGAAGAGUUUCUUGAAUAUAUAUUUGUGAGCGGGGCUAGUUUUGGGUUAA